rnacentral:rRNA from 1 species
GGGUUGUGAGGUUAAGCGACUAAGCGUACACGGUGGAUGCCCUGGCAGUCAGAGGCGAUGAAGGACGUGCUAAUCUGCGAUAAGCGUCGGUAAGGUGAUAUGAACCGUUAUAACCGGCGAUUUCCGAAUGGGGAAACCCAGUGUGAUUCGUCACACUAUCAUUAACUGAAUCCAUAGGUUAAUGAGGCGAACCGGGGGAACUGAAACAUCUAAGUACCCCGAGGAAAAGAAAUCAACCGAGAUUCCCCCAGUAGCGGCGAGCGAACGGGGAGCAGCCCAGAGCCUGAAUCAGUGUGUGUGUUAGUGGAAGCGUCUGGAAAGGCGCGCGAUACAGGGUGACAGCCCCGUACACAAAAAUGCACAUAUUGUGAGCUCGAUGAGUAGGGCGGGACACGUGGUAUCCUGUCUGAAUAUGGGGGGACCAUCCUCCAAGGCUAAAUACUCCUGACUGACCGAUAGUGAACCAGUACCGUGAGGGAAAGGCGAAAAGAACCCCGGCGAGGGGAGUGAAAAAGAACCUGAAACCGUGUACGUACAAGCAGUGGGAGCACAGAGCAAUCUGUGUGACUGCGUACCUUUUGUAUAAUGGGUCAGCGACUUAUAUUCUGUAGCAAGGUUAACCGAAUAGGGGAGCCGAAGGGAAACCGAGUCUUAACUGGGCGUUAAGUUGCAGGGUAUAGACCCGAAACCCGGUGAUCUAGCCAUGGGCAGGUUGAAGGUUGGGUAACACUAACUGGAGGACCGAACCGACUAAUGUUGAAAAAUUAGCGGAUGACUUGUGGCUGGGGGUGAAAGGCCAAUCAAACCGGGAGAUAGCUGGUUCUCCCCGAAAGCUAUUUAGGUAGCGCCUCGUGAAUUCAUCUCCGGGGGUAGAGCACUGUUUCGGCAAGGGGGUCAUCCCGACUUACCAACCCGAUGCAAACUGCGAAUACCGGAGAAUGUUAUCACGGGAGACACACGGCGGGUGCUAACGUCCGUCGUGAAGAGGGAAACAACCCAGACCGCCAGCUAAGGUCCCAAAGUCAUGGUUAAGUGGGAAACGAUGUGGGAAGGCCCAGACAGCCAGGAUGUUGGCUUAGAAGCAGCCAUCAUUUAAAGAAAGCGUAAUAGCUCACUGGUCGAGUCGGCCUGCGCGGAAGAUGUAACGGGGCUAAACCAUGCACCGAAGCUGCGGCAGCGACGCUUAUGCGUUGUUGGGUAGGGGAGCGUUCUGUAAGCCUGUGAAGGUGUGCUGUGAGGCAUGCUGGAGGUAUCAGAAGUGCGAAUGCUGACAUAAGUAACGAUAAAGCGGGUGAAAAGCCCGCUCGCCGGAAGACCAAGGGUUCCUGUCCAACGUUAAUCGGGGCAGGGUGAGUCGACCCCUAAGGCGAGGCCGAAAGGCGUAGUCGAUGGGAAACAGGUUAAUAUUCCUGUACUUGGUGUUACUGCGAAGGGGGGACGGAGAAGGCUAUGUUGGCCGGGCGACGGUUGUCCCGGUUUAAGCGUGUAGGCUGGUUUUCCAGGCAAAUCCGGAAAAUCAAGGCUGAGGCGUGAUGACGAGGCACUACGGUGCUGAAGCAACAAAUGCCCUGCUUCCAGGAAAAGCCUCUAAGCAUCAGGUAACAUCAAAUCGUACCCCAAACCGACACAGGUGGUCAGGUAGAGAAUACCAAGGCGCUUGAGAGAACUCGGGUGAAGGAACUAGGCAAAAUGGUGCCGUAACUUCGGGAGAAGGCACGCUGAUAUGUAGGUGAAGCGACUUGCUCGUGGAGCUGAAAUCAGUCGAAGAUACCAGCUGGCUGCAACUGUUUAUUAAAAACACAGCACUGUGCAAACACGAAAGUGGACGUAUACGGUGUGACGCCUGCCCGGUGCCGGAAGGUUAAUUGAUGGGGUCAGCGCAAGCGAAGCUCUUGAUCGAAGCCCCGGUAAACGGCGGCCGUAACUAUAACGGUCCUAAGGUAGCGAAAUUCCUUGUCGGGUAAGUUCCGACCUGCACGAAUGGCGUAAUGAUGGCCAGGCUGUCUCCACCCGAGACUCAGUGAAAUUGAACUCGCUGUGAAGAUGCAGUGUACCCGCGGCAAGACGGAAAGACCCCGUGAACCUUUACUAUAGCUUGACACUGAACAUUGAGCCUUGAUGUGUAGGAUAGGUGGGAGGCUUUGAAGUGUGGACGCCAGUCUGCAUGGAGCCGACCUUGAAAUACCACCCUUUAAUGUUUGAUGUUCUAACGUUGACCCGUAAUCCGGGUUGCGGACAGUGUCUGGUGGGUAGUUUGACUGGGGCGGUCUCCUCCUAAAGAGUAACGGAGGAGCACGAAGGUUGGCUAAUCCUGGUCGGACAUCAGGAGGUUAGUGCAAUGGCAUAAGCCAGCUUGACUGCGAGCGUGACGGCGCGAGCAGGUGCGAAAGCAGGUCAUAGUGAUCCGGUGGUUCUGAAUGGAAGGGCCAUCGCUCAACGGAUAAAAGGUACUCCGGGGAUAACAGGCUGAUACCGCCCAAGAGUUCAUAUCGACGGCGGUGUUUGGCACCUCGAUGUCGGCUCAUCACAUCCUGGGGCUGAAGUAGGUCCCAAGGGUAUGGCUGUUCGCCAUUUAAAGUGGUACGCGAGCUGGGUUUAGAACGUCGUGAGACAGUUCGGUCCCUAUCUGCCGUGGGCGCUGGAGAACUGAGGGGGGCUGCUCCUAGUACGAGAGGACCGGAGUGGACGCAUCACUGGUGUUCGGGUUGUCAUGCCAAUGGCACUGCCCGGUAGCUAAAUGCGGAAGAGAUAAGUGCUGAAAGCAUCUAAGCACGAAACUUGCCCCGAGAUGAGUUCUCCCUGACUCCUUGAGAGUCCUGAAGGAACGUUGAAGACGACGACGUUGAUAGGCCGGGUGUGUAAGCGCAGCGAUGCGUUGAGCUAACCGGUACUAAUGAACCGUGAGGCUUAACCUUACAACGCCGAAG